rnacentral:lncRNA from 1 species
GAACAAUGUUCUCCCAGAUUUGACUUUAGAUAAAUGUCACACUCCAGUAAAGAGACUUUAAGAAUUACUCAGUAAUCAAACCAUGUGAAUUCAAUGGUCUGCACGCUUGGAAUCUUAAGAAACUGCUGAUGAUGACAUUGGCUGCCUCGGUUUUAGGAACUGCCAGAAAUAGCCACUAACCAAGAGAAAGAGAGCAAGGACUAGCCCUGAAUAAUUGGUCAACGAUGCUGAUUUCGUUGGUUUCCUGUUCCUUUUGCUUCCUGGAAAAUACAGACCUACAAAGCAAACAUUGUGUGUGGGUUGAUGCUACAGCAUCGUC